AGUGGCGGACGGGUGAGUAACACGUAGGUAACCUGCCCUUCAGCGGGGGGCAACUCAGGGAAACUUGAGCUAAUACCCCAUAAGACCACUGGGAAAAAAGGAGCGCUGAGGGAUGGGCCUGCGGCCUAUCAGGUAGUUGGUAGGGUAAUGGCCUACCAAGCCAGAGACGGGUAGCCGGUCUGAGAGGACGAACGGCCACACUGGAACUGAGACACGGUCCAGACUCCUACGGGAGGCAGCAGUGGGGAAUUUUGCACAAUGGGGGGAACCCUGAUGCAGCGACGCCGCGUGGAGGAUGAAGGCCUUCGGGUUGUAAACUCCUUUUCUCAGGAACGAUUGACGGUACCUGAGGAAUAAGCCACGGCUAACUCUGUGCCAGCAGCCGCGGUAAGACAGAGGUGGCGAGCGUUGUCCGGAAUCACUGGGCUUAAAGGGCGCGUAGGUGGUAGUGUAAGUCUGGGGUGGAAUCCCAGGACUUAACCCUGGAACUGACUUGGAAAC
rnacentral:rRNA from 1 species